UCCAUGACAUAGUUUCUUUCAUGCCUUGAAAAACUUUCUUCUGAGAGGUGACCUGUAGGCUUUGCCAGAUUGCCUAAGGAAUCCAUGGCUUGGGCAAGGUUAAGACCCUAAGUAAAAGGAAAGCAGGGAGGCUCUUUGACCUUGACUGUUGCCAUUUAGUAGUGAAGCCAGACAGGGUGGGUGGGGACUGGGUCCCAAGGGCUGGAUGGGCCACCGUAGAGAGCUCAGGUUUUAUGUUAAGGGCAAUGGGACGUCAUCAGAGGCUUCUGGAAAGAGAGGCUACUGGAUCCGAUUUAAGUCUUGGGCCACUCUGGCUGCUGAGGGGGGGACAAGAUUUGUUGAGGUGCAGAGUGGUGUCCCAGAGACCGUGAAAGGCCAGCUCAGUUGGAUGGUGGUGGUAGGGAUGAAGGUGGGGAAACGGGUCAUGAUUACGAAUGUGGGUGAAAGGUGUAGAAGCAAUAGGAUUUGGCAGGAUGUGGGUGUGUGAAGAGAAAGACUUUUAGGUCUAGAGCCAAUGUGUGAGUAGCGGCGACACUUUUCAGAAUGGAAAAGGUUAAGAGGAGUAGGUUUGGGAAUGGGGAGCAAAGUGGCUGUGAAGCCAAGUUCUCUUUGAACAUGUUGCCCUUGGAAUGCCUACCAGCCAUCCUCAUGGGGCUGCUGAAUGGAGAGCUGCCUAUGAGCAUGGGACUUGCAAAGGGUAAGGAGUGGAGAACUCACUAUUGGAUCCAUAAAGUUGUGGAUCCAAGGAGAAGAUUGAUCCAGUGUUCUGGGGGCUGGGACGGGGGGGGGGCAACGUUACCUUGCAUGCCCUGAAGGAUUUUGUCUUCCCUUGUUCCAAAGGGUUUACUUCAGUGUUGACUGUAUAUAAACAUGGAGGCCCAUGGAAGUGUAUUUAUGACAUCAGGUAGUUCACCCUUUAGUAGUCCCUCAACCCAUCUUUUCCACGUAAUAUCCAUGGACAGUCCUGGAGGUGAGGACCAGUUAUCUAAAUGCAAGGGAUUGGGGCAUAGGGCAGUGAAAACCAUCUAAUCAAGUUGCAUUAUGCGUCAGGCCCAUCUCAUUCCAGAGGGGAUCAUUUGAUGGAAAAGUGAAAGACUGCAGUUAACUGAUUGGGAACCCCCUCCCCUUGCUCCACUGGCCUAAGUAUGGCCACCCAAGCUUCCUCUCUCACGGACAAGGAUGGAGUCAAGAUAAUAGGAAAUUAGGGAGUUCCCACUGUGGCUCAGAGGGUUACGAAUCCAAGUAAUAUCCGUAAGGAUGUGGGUUCAACCCCUGGCCUCACUGAGUGGGUUAAGGACCCAACAUUGCCAUGAGCUGUGGUAUAGGUGACAGACACGGCUCAGAUCUGGCAUUGCUGUGGCUGUGGUGUAGGCUGGCAGCUGUAGCUCUAAUUUGACCCCUAGCCUGGGACCUUCCAUAUGCCGUGAGUGCAGCCUUAAAAAGAAGAAGAAAAAAAAAAGACAAUAAGAAAGUCACCACCAGACAUCACACCUGGGUUCUAGCUCCCAGAGGUUGGAAAGGAUCCUUGCGUCUCUGCUAAGUCCAGAGCGAUUAUCCUAGCUCUUCAGAGACCACCUGCCUAUGUAUCACAAUGGUGAAAAGUAAACCUAUCAAAAGCAAGGACUUGUAAGUUCCACCAUUACCCUUCCCCCUGCAUCUCUGGAAUCAUCUUGGCUCAGGUUGACUCUUGGGGACUUUUUAAGGCUGGAUUGUGGGGUGCCAUUUCCAGACAUGCAAAUGGUGUAGAGAGGAGCCCCACUGAGGACAAUGGGGAGGAAAACGGCACCCCCCUCCCGCUCUUCAAGGCCUGGGAGAGGACUAGCCGAUGCAGUUGCAGAGCACCAAGCAGUGCCCUUGGGGAGAAACAAGACAUCCACCAUCUGACUGGCUUUGGACUUUGUGGGCAGAGUCCAAGAUCAGACAAAGGGUGCCUGAGAAAUAAGCUAGAACACUUGACUCUUCAAUCCUCCAAAAUGUCUACAGUUUAAUUAAAAGAGAGGUUGAGCUUGGCGCUCUUUAGGAGCUCUUUUUAAUUAAACUUUGCAUUUCUUCUCUCUGCUCUGCAGAGGCAUUCCAGGGCAGCUCUUGGCUUUGAAUGCGCAGUCGUUUUGGCCACACGCAGAUGGUCUGGAAGAGCCCCGCUGCUGAGUUCAUGGAAUUCUUAAAUGGGAAUAUCAUUGACUUUUCCUUUUCACCCAUAUUUGGAAACUGGCAUGAGUGUUAAUGAAACUUGUAUGUUCUGAGAUCUUUGGUGGGCUGUUUGCAAAAUAUCGGACUCCAUGUAGGACUCAGAUGUUGACAGAGUUUCAGGUCAAAUUUCAGUCCUUUCAUCUCUAAAAUGGUGUCACAGUUCUCCCUCUUAACACAAAAGUAUUUCACACUUUGGGUGAGGACAAAAAAAGUUCAUGACAAUGUGUGUGUCGUGACAUCUAAAGCAUGGUAGGUAGCCAGAAUGCAUGAGAGCUGGGACACUAGUCGCCCUGCCACCCUGCAUGAAGGUGAGGACGCCACCACUGCAGACAUUGUUUGAGUCUAAAAGGAUCCAUUUUGGGUUUUUUUUUUUUUUUUUAAUUUUAGUUGAUUUACAAUGUUGUGCCAAUUUCUGCUGUACAGUAAAGUAUCGAGUUUAAAGAUCAGAGUGGAGAGAAUCCCAUCUGGAGUAAAAAAGGACAUCAAAUUAUGAUGGAGACAUUAUUCUCAUAAAUUGCUCAUGGUCUAACUGGGGGAGGGCUUUGUACACCUUGCAGAAAACUGAUUGACAGGUAAGAAAGAGCAAACAGAUUGACGGGUAAGAAAAGAGGAUGAGAUUAGGAAAGAUGGGUGAAUGGAGCUGGAUGGUGUGGUAAUUGCCUUCCUAUAAUACUGGCAGUACUAAUUUGAAACUGUGGGACCAUUUUCUGCUCUGUAGAAACGUACUUCACAACCCACCCCCACCCCCUGAACGGUUCAGCUGAAUUCUCUGCAUGUGUAUCCAUAAUCCAGAUGUCUCUAUCUAAACUCUUAGGGGAGACAAAUGAGUCAGAACAACAUAGAUUUCAGAUUGGAAACAAAAUACAUGUAAUUCAGAUUGUUAAAAUCCACGAUCAGCCACGAUGGGGCUAAAAAUAUUACCAUGAUCUUCCCAACAAAUUUUGUUAUAGAAUGUUCUUUUAGAGAGUGGCAAAACAAACUCCUAAAAUUGAUACUAGAAUUUUUAAAAAAUCAUUUGCAGAAGUUCUCUUGUGGCGCAGUGGGUUAAGGAUCUGGCAUUGUCACUGCAGUGACUUGGGUUACUUCUGUGGCACGGGUU
rnacentral:lncRNA from 1 species